GACGAACGCUGGCGGCGUGCCUAAUACAUGCAAGUUGAGCGCUGAAGGUUGGUACUUGUACCAACUGGAUGAGCAGCGAACGGGUGAGUAACGCGUGGGAAAUCUGCCUUUGAGCGGGGGACAACAUUUGGAAACGAAUGCUAAUACCGCAUAAAAACUUUAAACACAAGUUUUAAGUUAGAAAGAUGCAAUUGCAUCACUCAAAGAUGAUCCCGCGUUGUAUUAGCUAGUUGGUGAGGUAAAGGCUCACCAAGGCGAUGAUACAUAGCCGACCUGAGAGGGUGAUCGGCCACAUUGGGACUGAGACACGGCCCAAACUCCUACGGGAGGCAGCAGUAGGGAAUCUUCGGCAAUGGACGAAAGUCUGACCGAGCAACGCCGCGUGAGUGAAGAAGGUUUUCGGAUCGUAAAACUCUGUUGGUAGAGAAGAACGUUGGUGAGAGUGGAAAGCUCAUCAAGUGACGGUAACUACCCAGAAAGGGACGGCUAACUACGUG
rnacentral:rRNA from 1 species